GGGGACGAAAGGUAUCGACAGGAGGGAACGUAACCGGGUAGCAGGCCGAGGUUGGUCGUCACCCUCGUUAAUCAGGCGGCCAUUUGAGUAAGCGCCGAAGAUCGCGAACUCGCUCUCGCGGCAUAGCCCGUGAGACGUCUCACCGAUAGCCCCUUCCCCGACGGAGCACGGUGAGGCGCCACAAAAGUUGGGGCGCUGUGAGCUGACGCCGAUACCGCUCACCUAAGAUUCAUCGGCUGGUUCCACCGUAUUCGCCCCCCACCUGCGGAGCGAUGGAACGAGAUCCCAACUGGUGGGAAAGCCUGUAGGACAAUCCGGAGCAGACCCUGGCUGGACCGGGAGUUCGAUUCUCCCGCGUCUCCACCA
rnacentral:tmRNA from 1 species